AAAGAUUAAUAUAUGCGAAAAGAAGUGUUCAGAUUCGAUUUGGUAUAGUUAAAUAUUAAAUAACGAAAAUCUAAAUAAAAGGAAUCAGACAAAGGAGAAAAGGGUGAAAACGAGUUUUUUUUACAAUACAAAAAAAAGGAAAGUAUAACAUCCCUACAUUAACGAACAUAAACGAACGUCGGAUAACGCCUACUGGGCUAAAUUACACAGCUUAUUUUAAAGCAGCAACGUGACCAGCCUGGUAACGACCAGAUGGAUCUUCGGGGCAACCCCAUUCAGCCUUGGGAACCCAACGCAUAACAGUGUCAGCACACUGUCUAGGGAAGAUUUCGUCGAAAAGCUUGCGGUACCAGAAUGCCUCUUUGGUGGUAGGAAUAUCGUCACCCCAUUCCC